rnacentral:rRNA from 1 species
GUCCACGCUGUAAACGAUGGAUGCUAGUUGUCGGCAAGCAUGCUUGUCGGUGACGCAGCUAACGCUUUAAGCAUCCCGCCUGGGGAGUACGGCCGCAAGGUUAAAAACUCAAAGGAAUUGACGGGGGCCCGCACAAGCGGUGGAGUAUGUGGUUUAAUUCGAAGCAACGCGAAGAACCUUACCAGCCCUUGACAUCCCGGUCGCGGGGACGAGAGAUCGACCCUUCAGUUCGGCUGGACCGGUGACAGAUGCUGCAUGGCUGUCGU